UUUCCGUAGGUGAACCUGCGGAAGGAUCAUUAAUGAGUUGUCAUGGGGUUCGAUGCUGGCAGCCAGUUUUUGGAUGCAUGUGCUUGCCCUAACAAUCAUCUUCUUCCAAACACCUGUGCACAUUUUUGAGGGAGUCUUGAGUUGGUUGCCGCUCUUGGGUGAUUCUCUCACAUUCCCUUAAAUCAUUAUACGCUAUUAACAAUGUUGAACGUGCUCUGUGCCGCAAGGCCAUUAAUAUAAUACAACUUUUAACAACGGAUCUCUUGGCUCUCGCCUCGAUGAGGAAC
rnacentral:misc_RNA from 1 species